rnacentral:lncRNA from 1 species
UUCUUAGAUAUGAAAUUAGUUUCUAAAAUUUUGUAUAUUAUAAUUAGGAAGAAAUUACCUAUUAGUUCCAAAAUUUGAUAAUUUUAGGAUGUGUUUCUAAAGGGAGAAACAGAAGUUAUAAUGACGGGUAGUGACAUAGACUAGGGAGUUGCAAAUAUCUAUAAUUAAUCAUGUAUAAAAGGGUAGGUUGACAGAAAACAAGUAUUGAACUCUCAAUUGCCUGUUGC